rnacentral:rRNA from 1 species
UGGGGGAUAUUGCACAAUGGGGGAAACCCUGAUGCAGCAAUGCCGCGUGAGGGAAGAAGGUCUUCGGAUUGUAAACCUAAGUUGUCAGGGACGAAACAAAUGACGGUACCUGAAAAGAAAGCUCCGGCUAACUACGUGCCAGCAGCCGCGGUAAUACGUAGGGAGCGAGCGUUGUCCGGAUUUACUGGGUGUAAAGGGUGCGUAGGCGGGUUUGCAAGUCAGGCGUGAAAUACCGAGGCUUAACUUCGGGGCUGCGCUUGAAACUGUAGAUCUUGAGUGAAGUAGAGGCAAGCGGAAUUCCUAGUGUAGCGGUGAAAUGCGUAGAUAUUAGGAGGAACACCAGUGGCGAAGGCGGCUUGCUGGGCUUUAACUGACGCUGAGGCACGAAAGCAUGGGGAGCAAACAGGAUUAGAUACCCUGGUAGU